AUCUGAUGACUGACUGAAUUGUGU
rnacentral:piRNA from 1 species